AAAGGUAAGCUACUAAGAGCGAAUGGUGGAUGCCUUGACUGGUAAAGGCGAUGAAGGACGUACUAGACUGCGAUAAGCUACGGGGAGCUGUCAAGAAGCUUUGAUCCGUAGAUUUCCGAAUGGGGCAACCCAAUGUAUAGAGAUAUACAUUACCUAUAUAGGAGCGAACGAGGGGAAUUGAAACAUCUUAGUACCCUCAGGAAAAGAAAUCAAUAGAGAUUGCGUCAGUAGCGGCGAGCGAAAGCGCAAGAGGGCAAACCCAGUGCUUGCACUGGGGGUUGUAGGACUGCAAUGUGCAAGAGCUGAGUUUAGCAGAACAUUCUGGAAAGUAUAGCCAUAGAGGGUGAUAGUCCCGUAUGCGAAAAACAAACCUUAGCUAGCAGUAUCCUGAGUAGGGCGGGACACGAGGAAUCCUGUCUGAAUCCGGGUCGACCACGAUCCAACCCUAAAUACUAAUACCAGAUCGAUAGUGCACAAGUACCGUGAGGGAAAGGUGAAAAGAACUGAGGUGAUCAGAGUGAAAUAGAACCUGAAACCAU
rnacentral:rRNA from 1 species